CGGUGAAUACGUUCCCGAGCCUUGUACUCACCGCCCGUCAAGUCAGGGGAGUCGGGAGUGCCCGAAGUACCACCUCGCGUGGUCCUACGGUAAGCUCGAUAACAAGGACU
rnacentral:rRNA from 1 species